AUUGGCAGCUGUUGCUUCCUUCCUACUCCCUCCCACACACCCAGGAGCUCCAGCCUGUUAUGGGAUGGGCAUCCUACCAGGAACCAAGGAUGCUAAGAUGUCCUCCAAAAUGGAUUGCCUCAUAUCUAGUACCCGCCUGCUGCAGGCUUCUUCAUCUAGUUCCUCUGGGGACACACUGUGCAGCUAAUUCAUCCAGGCAGAUUCACUGGGAAGCUGUUGCUCAUGAGGGUAUUUCUGAGACUUUUUUUUGUGACCUUGCUGUAUGACUGGUGUAAUGAAGAAUCUCCAGGUGGAGAAAUGAUCCUGAAUUAUCCAGUGGGCCCUACAUGUCACCACAUUGCGAUCCUUCUAAGUAGGAAGCAGAAGAUCUGACACAUGCAGGAGAGGGGAAGGCAAUGUGACCAUGGAGGCAGAGAGGGGAGUGAUGUGGCCACAAACCAAGGAUUGUUGGCAGCUGCCAGUGGCCGAAGGGGCAAUGAAUGGAUUCUCCUUUGGAGCCUCUGGAGGGAGAAUGGCCCUGCUAACACCUUGAUUUUGGCCCAGUGAUACUGAUUUUGGACUUCUGCCCUCUAGAACUGUGAGGGAAUACUUUUCUGUUGCUUUAAGCCAUUGAAUUUAUGAUGAUUUGUUACAGCACCCACAGGAAACAAAUGCAUGGAUCUAACUUGAACCUAGUGAGUUAGAUUACUUCAGGGAAACACAAUAAAUAGUUAACAGGGCUUGUCAGGGGGGUGGGAGUGAGAUGAAAGUGUGAAGGCAACUUCUAUGGUUUACUUUUAUAUUUCCCUAUUUUUCAAAUCUUUUGCAAGAAAAUGAAUUCAUAUACUAUUUUAAAAAACAUAUAAAAUAUGAGCAAAAAGAUUUAUUGUAUCUCUUUAAAAUAAUUUAGAACAAGUAAUGGCUGCAGAACCUUAAAGGGUUUUUCUAGCAUGUUUCCAAGAUACAGUCUUGAUUAUUUGAGAUUGACAUGAAGAUGGCCCAGACUGUGCCACAACACAGCACUUGACACCAAAUGUUAGACUGUAAUGGGCCGUGUGAGUAUUACUCAGUGUGGCCAUUUCAUUAUCAAAUAUCUAUUUAUUUCAGAUUUCAAACACGAAUACAAGCUUCUCCUUUCUUUCCUUCCUUUCUCUUUUUCUCCUUUCUACAGCAAGUUCAGGAAUGUGCUAGGUAUGACCUGGGAUAGAAAGAGCAUAUACUCAGCUUUUGCCUUCAAGAAAAUUGGAUAUUGGCUUGGGAGAUAAGAUAAAUGAAAAGGAAGCAGAUGAUCUGUUAUAGAAGAGAUAACACUGUAAGCCCAAAUGUAUGUGAUUAAGUUCUAAAAGUGUAAACCAAUAGGGAGUGCUGUGAGGUGUCACCACGGGCGCAGAUUGCAGCAGAUCUGACCAUACAAGUGUAAAUAAAACCCUAUUGAAUGCCCCCUCUCCCUCCCCAAUUGUUCUGAGUGGUUGCUUCAAGAUUUCUUCUCAUCGUUCUCAAAUUGUUACUGUGAGAUUAACUGGCAAACAUUUCUCCUUAACAUAAGAAGUGUGAAUGGAAUCCUACCAAGUGAUUUUGCCAAUAGUUCCUAUUCCUGCUGCAAACAGUGGUGUGCUCAGGCUUAAGCUGUAACAUGUCCACACUCACCUGUCACUUGGGAAUGCCUCUGUUGGAAUGCAACAUGCCCACUUAUCACACAGCCGGCAUGAGAGGCAGAGUGGAGUUUAACCAAGCAUUCUGCCCCCAAAGUCUGCAGAUGUAGCCAGUGCCUUCAGAAAAGGGAAGGGAAACUAACCCUGUUGAGUAUCUACUAUGUGCUAGGCAUUCUGUUAAGCACUUUUACACACAUCAUUUAAUCCUCGUGACAGUAUUUAGAAAUAGCUAUCAUUUCCCAGUUCUGUAGAUGAGGAAGAAAAGGUAGGCUCAGAGAGGGUAGGUAAGUUGUCUAAGGUCACAUAGCUGGUACAUAGUAGUAGAGCUAGGGUGCAAACCCAAGAUUUUCUGAGUCCAAAGCACAUGCCUAUUCCAUCAUUUCGGUAAUAAGAAUAAAUGUCUUUCAAAUGUAGUGGUGAGAGAUGAAUAAAAAGCCGUCCUUGGUGAUCCUGGGGAGUCUACACCCUCUGCCUGCCUGGCUCCACAUCAAGCUUGUGUUUGCCAGCACUUACACCCCUGCAUUUCCCUCCAAUCCCUGUCAUCUCCCUUGUGGAGUCCUCUCCUCCUCUCCUACCCGUUGGUCCCCUUUUUCACCCAUCCUUCAGCCAUUUAAUGAUCUCAUCUUUAAUUCCUGUUUAUAACUCCAUGAGCUCCUCGAUCACUGUCUCCUGAGAUGUCCUUUUUGUCACUGGAACUUGUAUUAAAGUGGUUUUGUAAUGGGUA
rnacentral:lncRNA from 1 species